AUACGUAGGGGGCAAGCGUUGUCCGGAAUUACUGGGCGUAAAGGGCGCGUAGGCGGCCAUAUAAGUCAGAUGUGAAAGUCCAGGGCUCAACCGUGGAAUUGCAUUUGAAACUGUAUGGCUUGAGUGCAGGAGAGGAGAGCGGAAUUCCUAGUGUAGCGGUGAAAUGCGUAGAUAUUAGGAAGAACACCAGUGGCGAAGGCGGCUCUCUGGACUGUAACUGACGCUGAGGCGCGAAAGCGUGGGUAGCGAACAGGAUUAGAUACCCUGGUAGUCCACGCCGUAAACGAUGUGCACUAGGAGGUGGGUAGCAGUAUUCACUUCCGUAGCUAACGCGAUAAGUGCACCGCCUGGGGAGUAUGCUCGCAAGGGUGAA
rnacentral:rRNA from 1 species